rnacentral:rRNA from 1 species
CACACCGCCCGUCACACCAUGGGAGUCGAUAACGCCCGAAGUCAGUGACCCAACCGAGAGGAGGGAGCUGCCGAAGGCGGGAUGGAUAACUGGGGUGAAGUCGUAACAAGGUAAC